rnacentral:rRNA from 1 species
GAUGAACGCUGGCGGCGUGCCUAAUACAUGCCAGUCGAGCGAACGGACGAGAAGCUUGCUUUUCUGAUGUUAGCGGCGGACGGGUGAGUAACACGUGGAUAACCUACCUAUAAGACUGGGAUAACUUCGGGAAACCGGAGCUAAUACCGGAUAAUAUUUUGAACCGCAUGGUUCAAAAGUGAAAGACGGUCUUGCUGUCACUUAUAGAUGGAUCCGCGCUGCAUUAGCUAGUUGAUAAGGUAACGGCUUACCAAGGCAACGAUGCAUAGCCGACCUGAGAGGGUGAUCGGCCACACUGGAACUGAGACACGGUCCAGACUCCUACGGGAGGCAGCAGUAGGGAAUCUUCCGCAAUGGGCGAAAGCCUGACGGAGCAACGCCGCGUGAGUGAUGAAGGUCUUCGGAUCGUAAAACUCUGUUAUUAGGGAAGAACAUAUGUGUAAGUAACUGUGCACAUCUUGACGGUACCUAAUCAGAAAGCCACGGCUAACUACGUG